UACGGGGGGGGCAAGCGUUGUUCGGAAUUACUGGGCGUAAAGGGCUCGUAGGUGGCCAAUUAAGUCAGACGUGAAAUCCCCAGGCUUAACCUGGGAACUGCGUCUGAUACUGGUUGGCUUGAAUUCGGGAGAGGGAUGCAGAAUUCCAGGCGUAGCGGUGAAAUGCGUAGAUAUCUGGAGGAAUACCGGUGGCGAAGGCGGCAUCCUGGACCGAGAUUGACACUGAGGAGCGAAAGCCAGGGGAGCAAACGGG
rnacentral:rRNA from 1 species